rnacentral:rRNA from 1 species
UAGGGAAUCUUCCGCAAUGGGCGCAAGCCUGACGGAGCAACGCCGCGUGAGUGAUGAAGGCCUUCGGGUUGUAAAACUCUGUCUUCUGUGAAGAACCACCCUGUGCAGGGAAAGCUCAGGGCCUGACGGUAACAGAGGAGGAAGCCCCGGCUAACUACGUGCCAGCAGCCGCGGUAAUACGUAGGGGGCAAGCGUUGUCCGGAAUCACUGGGCGUAAAGCGCGCGCAGGCGGUCUUUCACGUCCGGGGUGAAAGCCCAGAGCUCAACUCUGGGAUUGCCUUGGAUACGGGGAGACUUGAGGAUCGGAGAGGCAAGGGGAAUUCCACGUGUAGCGGUGAUAUGCGUAGAGAUGUGGAGGAACACCUGUGGCGAAGGCGCCUUGCUGGCCGAUUUCUGACGCUGAGGCGCGAAAGCGUGGGGAGCAAACA